UUUAAUGUUACCAACCCGUCA
rnacentral:piRNA from 1 species